CAGCAGCCGCGGUAAUACGUAGGGUGCGAGCGUUAAUCGGAUUUACUGGGCGUAAAGCGUGCGCAGGCGGCCCGUUAAGACAGGUGUGAAAUCCCUGGGCUCAACCUAGGAAUUGCGCUUGUGACUGGCGGGCUCGAGUACGGGAGAGGGGGGUGGAAUUCCUGGUGUAGCAGUGAAAUGCGUAGAGAUCAGGAGGAACACCGAUGGCGAAGGCAGCCCCCUGGGCCUGUACUGACGCUCAUGCACGAAAGCGUGGGGAGCAAACAGGAUUAGAUACCCUGGUAGUCCACGCCCUAAACGAUGGGUACUAGCCGUUUGGUGCGCGAUAGCGCUGAGUGGCGAAGCUAACGCGAGAAGUACCCCGCCUGGGGAGUACGGCCGCAAGGUUGAAACUUAAAGGAAUUGGCGGG
rnacentral:rRNA from 1 species